CUCUCUCUCUCUCUCUCUAUCUAUCUAUCUAGAACAUAGAUUCUAGGGUUUUUUCCAGAGGAAAAAAAGAGGAAUUCUCCAGCGGUGAGGGAAUUGGGAAACAUGGCCUCCAAUCCCGCUAAUCUGUGGGUGCUACUGGGGCUGGGUCUCGCCGGGAUUCUCUUAAUGACGAGGAAAAUGAAGAAAGCGACGAGGGAAAAUUUUGGCGCCUUUGUCGAGAAGCUUAUGCUCCUUCCUCCGCCGCAGCCUGCUCCUCCGAAAGCUCCUCAUCUCCUCACUGGCCUCACCUUCGCCGUCUCUGAUAUAUUUGACAUUGAAGGAUAUGUGACUGGAUUUGGUCAUCCAGAUUGGGUGAGGACACAUGAGGCAGCUUCUCGGACAUCUCCUGUAGUUUCAGUUCUUGUUGAAGGUGGUGCCACUUGCAUUGGGAAAACAGUUGUGGAUGAACUGGCUUAUAGUAUCAAUGGAGAAAAUAAGCAUUAUGGUACACCAAACAAUCCUGCAGCACGUGCAUGUGUACCUGGUGGAUCCUCGAGUGGAGCUGCUGUUGCUGUAGCUGCUAAUCUUGUUGACUUCUCUUUAGGUGCUGAUUCUGUUGGUGGUGUUAGAGUACCUGCUGGCUUUUGUGGCAUUAUAGGAUUCCGACCCUCAUAUGGCACCAUCCCUCUCUUUGGGGUUUUACCUGUUUCAGCAAGUCUGGACACUGUUGGAUGGUUUGCUAAGGAUCCAAAUGUUAUGCGUCGUGUUGGACAUUUGCUCUUGCAGCUGCCUUUUGGAAUUCAACGAAAUCCAAGGCAAAUUAUAAUAUCUGAUGAUUGUUUUCAACUAUUAAAGAUUCCCAUUGACAGGGUUGUGCAGGCGGUGAUUAAAUCCACCGAGAAGCUUUUUGGAAGACAAGUAUUGAGGCAUGAAAAUCUUGAUGAUAUUCUCUUUUCUAAAGUUCCAAGCUUAAAACAGUUCCAUGACAAAAAACCAAAUGGUGAACUCAGAAAUUCUUCAAUAAAAUUGCUUGCAAAAAUUUUGCAGCUUUUACAUAGAGAGGCUGUUUCCUCUGAGAUAAGGAAAAAUGCAACAAACUCUUCUGUGACUGAUAUGAAUUCAGAUGUAAUCAUGAGGAAUGGAUUAAUGUGGAGAAGCCUAAUCUUGAUCAUCAUAACUCUGCACAGAUAAAUGAAAUCCUAGAGAUAACAGAUAAGGAUGUUGAUAUUUUUAAAUCCAUCAGAAAUGAAAUGCGUGCAGCCAUUGACUCACUUCUGAAGGAUGAUGGAAUUCUGGCUAUCCCUACAACUGCUUAUCUUCCCCCAAAACUCGGUGCAAAAGAGAUGUUUUCGGAGGACUACCAGAUUCGUUCAUUUAGCCUGUUGAGUAUCGCAAGCCUAUCAGGUUGCUGUCAGGUGACUAUUCCGCUUGGACAUUAUGAGAAGCGACCUGUUUCAGUAUCCUUUAUAGCCAGGCAUGGGGGUGAUCGCUUUUUGCUGGAUACUGUACAUAACAUGUAUGCAUCUCUGCAAGAGCAGGUUGGUAUGCUUGCCAAGUCCAAAUUAUCUCCUAAUGUGGACAGUAAGGAAAGAACUGCUGACAUGGCUAAAGAAAAGGGCAACCAAGCUUUCAAAGAUAAGCAGUGGCAGAAGGCUAUUGGCUAUUAUACCGAAGCAAUCAAACUCAAUGGCAAGAAUGCAACAUAUUAUAGUAACAGAGCUGCAGCAUAUCUUGAAUUAGGGAGUUUUGUUCAAGCUGAGGAUGAUUGUACUGAAGCUAUCAACCUUGAUAAGAAGAAUGUAAAGGCCUAUUUACGCAGAGGCACAGCGAGAGAGAUGAUUGGUUAUUAUAAGGAGGCAAUUGAAGAUUUUAAAUAUGCCCUGGUGCUGGAGCCAACUAAUAAAAGAGCUGCCCUUUCUGCUGAAAGAUUAAGAAAGUUGUUUGUGUAGAAGAUUGAAGAAUGCGUCUGUCUAGGAAUGGCGAAGUAUACAAUUUAUCAUUUUUUAUGAAAGCCUUAUAUCAAUCUCUGUUCAGCAGACGGCAUUAUUCAACAUUUUGAUGAUCGUUACUUCUCAAUCAUCUCACACAAAAAUUUCUUUAAGAGUGCUUCACAAGUAGAGACGGGAGAGUAAUCCUUCUUCAUGGAACGUAUGGAGGUCUGAAAUUAUUUUUGUUUGAUCCAGUAUUAGUUUUUAGCAUAUAUAACUGGGUAGUUAUCGCUAUUAUUAGAAUUUUGUAAGUAUGGUACAAUUUUGUUUGUUUUAAUAUCUUUAUGUAAGGGUUGUAAUUUUAGUUUUGAGGUGGUUUAAUAUAUAUUUGACCUAGAAUUGAUCAAAAUUUUGAUUAAUUGAAGCUGUAUCGGAACAGGAUCAAAACCGAUUGGUUUGGUUUCGGGUUAGAAAAGAAAAAAAUAAGAAAAAUCAACCAUCAAAUUUGAUUAAAAUGAGAUCAAGUCGGAUUGAAUUGAAACA
rnacentral:misc_RNA from 1 species